rnacentral:misc_RNA from 1 species
GUUCGAGCGUCACUUCAACCCUCAAGCUCUGCUUGGUAUUGGGCCACACCGGCAACGGUGAGCCUUAAAAUCAGUGGCGGCGCCGCUGGGCCCUGAGCGUAGUAAUACUCCUCGCUACUGGGUCCCGGUGGAUGCUUGCCAUCAACCCCCAAUUUCUUAUGGUUGACCUCGGAUCAGGUAGGGAUACCCGCUGAACUUAA